AUUGAACGCUGGCGGAAUGCUUUACACAUGCAAGUCGAACGGCAGCACGGACUCCGGUCUGGUGGCGAGUGGCGAACGGGUGAGUAAUACAUCGGAACGUGCCCAGUCGUGGGGGAUAACGUAGCGAAAGCUACGCUAAUACCGCAUACGAUCUAAGGAUGAAAGCGGGGGAUCGCAAGACCUCGCGCGAUUGGAGCGGCCGAUGGCAGAUUAGGUAGUUGGUGGGGUAAAGGCCUACCAAGCCGACGAGCUGUAGCUGGUCUGAGAGGACGACCAGCCACACUGGGACUGAGACACGGCCCAGACUCCUACGGGAGGCAGCAGUGGGGAAUUUUGGACAAUGGGCGCAAGCCUGAUCCAGCCAUUCCGCGUGCAGGAUGAAGGCCCUCGGGUUGUAAACUGCUUUUGUACGGAACGAAAAGGCUCUGGUUAAUACCCGGGGCUCAUGACGGUACCGUAAGAAUAAGCACCGGCUAACUACGUGCCAGCCGCCGCAGUAA
rnacentral:rRNA from 1 species